CCAGCCGCCGCGGUAAUACCGGCGCCUCAAGUGGUCGUCGCUUUUAUUGGGCCUAAAACGUCCGUAGCCUGUUUGGUAAACCCGUGGGUAAAUCAACGAGCUCAACUCAUUGACUUCUGCGGAGACUGCCAGACUAGGGACCGGGAGAGGUGUAGGGUACUCAUGGGGUAGGGGUAAAAUCCUGUCAUCCCAUGAGGACCACCUGUUGCGAAGGCGCUACACUAGAACGGAUCCGACGGUCAGGGACGAAGCCUAGGGGCACGAACCGGAUUAGAUACCCGGGUAGUCCUAGGUGUAAACGCUGUGGACUUGGUGUUGGGGAUCCGACAGGGGUUCCCAGUGCCGGAGCGAAGGUGUUAAGUCCACUGCCUGGGGAGUACGGUCGCAAGGCUGAAACUUAAAGGAAUUGGCGGGGGAGCACUGCAACGGGAGGAGCGUGCGGUUUAAUUGGAUUCAACGCCGGAAAACUCACCAGGGCCGACUGUCAGAUGAAGACCAGCGUGAUGAGCUUGUCGGAUUGUCAGAGAGGUGGUGCAUGGCCGUCGUCAGUUCGUACCGUAAGGCGUUCUGUUAAGUCAGAUAACGAACGAGACCCUCAUCCUUAUUUGCCACCCGCAUAUUACUAUGCGGCGCACUAUAGGGAGACCGCUGGUGUGAAACCAGAGGAAGGCGAGGGCAACGGUAGGUCAGUAUGCCCCGAAUGUCCUGGGCUACACGCGCGCUACAAAGGAUCGGACAAUGGGAAGCCACGCCGAGAGGCGGAGCCACCCCGAAACCGGUUCAUAGUUCGGAUCGAGGGCUGUAACUCGCCCUCGUGAAGCUGGAUUCCGUAGUAAUCGCGUCUCAAAAUGGCGCGGUGAAUAUGCCCCUGCUCCUUGCACACACCGCCCGUCAAACCAUCUUAGUUGGGGG
rnacentral:rRNA from 1 species